rnacentral:lncRNA from 1 species
CUAGGAUCGGAGAGCCCGCAGCGAGGAAGGUGCUGAAGCCCGGCGAAGCUGUCAAGACGCUCGCUGCUAUUGGGACGUGCUGGUGAGCUGCCUGAAGCAGUACUGACAUUCCGAGCCUGCCGUUCAACUUUGGAGCCAGGAGUUGAGGGACACGUGAGCGCUGGGUGUCAGCGAACAAGGGCGAAGCCAAACGACUUCGUUGAGCGACUGACGAGGCGCUGCGGUGUCCUGCAUCGGGAGGAGAGCGGCAAGAGACGUCGACGUGAGGGACUGACGCAACGGCGAGGGUGGUCCGCUGGAGCACCGUGAGCAUCGAGCGACUUCGUAACGACAAGCGUCAGAGACGGGACUGACGCAGCUGCAACUGACAACGACGGCGGGCGACGCAUCACGGCAAGGUCUGUUUUCUGGCGAAACACUGACAUACUCCACUACAUCGUCUCACCCCUUCAUGGAGGAAACUCUAGUACAAAGGUCUGUUUUCUGGCGAAACACUGACAGACUC